UUAAGUAUUAAAAGGAAAGUGGGCGCCUGGGCGGGGAGGAUCUUGAAUGUUUGGUGCGUGUACAACACGUGCUCUAGUGUGUGUUGAGUGAGCGCACACUGCCAUCAUUUUCAGGAGUUUGAGUUAGGUAUGGGCUUAAGAGGAGUUAAUCUGAGUUUAACUGAAGCUAACCAUGGUUAAAGUUAAAGACACUGUUACAGUUUGUUGUUGGAUUUCAUUGUUUUGUAUUCUUCUGGCCAUCACUUUAUCACUCAACCACAAACAGCACACCACUCACACUCAAAGCUUUGAGAAAGAGAGAGAAAUAAAGAAUCAAAUGCUUUGUACAAAGACAUCCCAUUUGCUGUUUCACAUAUAAAAAAAGAAAAAAAAUCCAACGAAUGAGACUUUGUAUAAACUAAAAAACAAAGCCAAAGGCCAUUAAUUGAUGUAGGCUAGUCACAGAGAGGAAGGAGUAGGAGUAGGAGGAGAAUCUUUUGUUGCUGUCUUAGUUCAUUCUCAUAACCUUCAAGCUAAGUUCAAGACUUCGUUCAACUGGUCUUCUGCAAUUAUCAGAGGCAAGAAGGGUUUUCUUUAUAGUUUGUUGUCAUGGUUUCGAGGUCUUAUUCUAAUCUCUUGGACCUUGCUUCGGGUGAUUCCCUAACUUUUGGUCGAGAGAGAAAGAGGUUUCCUCGAGUGGCUACUGUACCUGGGCUCUUGUCUGAGGUAGAUGAUGAUAACUGCAACAGUGUUGGCUCUGAUGCUCCUUCUUCUGUUUCUCAAGAACGGAUGAUUAUAGUGGGAAACCAGCUUCCACUUCGAGCACACAGAAAUGCAGAAGGAGAGUGGUGCUUUAACUGGGAUGAAGAUUCACUUCUUUUGCAACUCAAAGACGGGCUUGGAGAAGAUGUAGAAGUAAUCUAUGUAGGUUGUCUUAAAGAGGAGGUUGCUCCUAACAAACAAGAUGACGUAGCCCAAACAUUGCUUGAAACUUUCAAAUGUGUCCCUGCAUUCCUCCCUCCUGAGCUUUUUACUAAGUUCUAUCAUGGAUUCUGUAAACAACAUCUGUGGCCUUUAUUUCACUACAUGCUUCCUCUAUCACCAGAUCUUGGUGGUCGGUUUGACCGCACCCUAUGGCAAGCUUAUGUUUCUGUGAACAAGAUUUUUGCUGACAAAGUGAUGGAAGUGAUAAGCCCUGAUGAUGAUUAUGUCUGGGUUCAUGACUAUCAUUUGAUGGUUUUACCGACAUUUUUGAGGAAGAGGUUUAAUAGGGUGAAGCUUGGAUUCUUCCUCCAUAGCCCAUUUCCAUCAUCUGAAAUAUAUAGGACACUUCCUGUAAGAGAUGAGCUUCUAAGAGCGCUACUCAACUCUGACCUCAUUGGCUUUCAUACUUUUGAUUACGCCAGGCACUUCCUCUCGUGUUGUAGCAGAAUGCUUGGUCUUUCUUAUCAAUCAAAGCGUGGCUACAUAGGGCUUGAAUAUUAUGGUCGCACUGUGAGCAUCAAAAUCCUUCCGGUUGGGAUUCAUAUAGGACAGCUCCAAUCUGUGCUGAAUCUUCCUGAGACUGUUGCUAAGGUGGCUGAGUUACGCAACCGAUUUAGGGGUCAAACUGUUAUGCUUGGGGUCGAUGACAUGGACAUCUUUAAGGGAAUCAGUCUGAAGCUUUUGGCCAUGGAACAAUUGCUCAUGCAACGUCCUGAAAAUACAGGUGAAGUUGUUUUGGUUCAAAUUGCGAAUCCUGCAAGAGGCCGAGGAAGAGAUGUACAGGAGGUCCAGUCUGAAACUUAUGCCACAGUGAAGAGGAUUAAUAAUAUGUUUGGAAGACCAGGAUAUGAUCCAGUGGUUUUGAUUGACACCCCUCUCCAGUUUUAUGAACGAAUUGCUUAUUAUGUUAUUGCUGAGUGUUGUCUGGUUACAGCAGUGAGGGAUGGGAUGAAUCUUAUACCAUACGAGUAUAUUAUAUGCCGACAAGGAAAUGAAAAGCUAGAUGAGACCCUAGGGCUAAAUUCAUCGGUAUCAAAAAAGAGCAUGCUGGUUGUUUCUGAAUUUAUUGGAUGCUCACCAUCUCUGAGUGGGGCAAUUCGAGUAAAUCCAUGGAACAUUGAUGCUGUGGCUGAAGCUAUGGAUUCUGCACUAAUUGUCUCCGAGGCAGAAAAGCAAUUGCGGCAUGAGAAGCACAACAGAUAUGUUAGUACACAUGAUGUGGCAUAUUGGGCACGCAGCUUUUUGCAGGAUCUUGAGAGGGCAUGUGGGGAUCAUUUGAGGAGGAGGUGCUGGGGAAUUGGUUUUGGUUUAGGGUUCCGGGUGAUAGCUUUGGAUCCAAAUUUUAGGAAGCUUUCCAUUGAGCAUAUUGUUUCAGCUUACAAGAGAACCAAGAACCGAGUAAUUCUUUUGGAUUAUGAUGGCACCUUGAUGCCAACUGGUUCAUUGAGUACUACUCCCAAUAUAGAUGCUGUUGGAAUCUUGAACAAUCUGUGCAGAGAUCCCAAGAAUGUUGUUUUCCUUGUUAGUGGAAAAGAUAGAAAGACUCUAACUGAAUGGUUUUCCUGUUGUGAAAAGCUUGGGAUUGCAGCAGAGCAUGGUUAUUUUAUCAGGCCAAAUCAUGAUGCAGAUUGGGAAACUUGUGCCUCUGUGCCAGACUUUGAUUGGAAGCAGAUUGCUGAGCCUGUGAUGAAACUGUACACUGAAACAACAGAUGGUUCUGCCAUUGAGACCAAAGAGAGUGCUCUUGUGUGGAAUUACCUGUAUGCUGAUCCUGAUUUUGGAUUUUGCCAGGCUAAGGAGCUUUUAGAUCACCUGGAAAGUGUGCUUGCUAAUGAGCCAGUGUCAGUUAAGAGUGGUCAGCACAUUGUAGAAGUUAAACCUCAGGGUGUGAACAAGGGUCUUGUUGCUGAACAUCUUCUCAUGACAAUGCAACAAAAAGGAAAGCUUCCAGAUUUUGUUCUUUGUAUUGGGGAUGACCGUUCAGAUGAGGACAUGUUUGAGGUGAUCAUGCGUGCCAGGACUGGUCCCUCUCUCUCCCCAGUUGCUGAGGUUUUUGCUUGCACUGUUGGGCAGAAACCUAGCAAGGCCAAAUACUAUGUGGAAGACAGAACUGAGAUUUUGAGAAUGUUGCAGUGUCUAGCCAAUGCUUCUGAACAGGCUACAAAGACUGCUCCCCAGCCUUCUCACUGAAUAAUUAUUGACAAAGAAUGAUCGGCUUCAGUCUCUUAUCAUCCUACAUGAGUUCAUAUCAAAGUGUACAUUGGAAUUUUCAGUUAGAUUCUCAAAUCUUUGGGAUAAUAGGGUGUUCUGGUAAAAGCAUGAGUUUUGAGCUUCUGUUCUUUGCCUAUCUGUCAAACAAAUGGAGAGUUUUGUCUAAAUACUUGUUGCAUUGUGCUUGUAGAUUCUAUUAUGAGUAGAUAAAUUCUUCUCGUGUUUUUUUUUUUCCCUCUGAAACUGAAAAAACAGAUGGGCCGAUGAUUUGAUUGGGGGUUUAUAGAUAAUCAGAUGCGUUUGGACUUUGGCAAUGAGUACAGUGAAUGACCUGGUUGGGAUAACCAUGGACACAGCUCUGACACUGGGUCAGCUUCCUAUGGCCCUGGCCCUUAGUCUGAACUUUAUCCAUCGUUGGGUCCAACGGACAUGGAUGUAGAUCCACUAAGAAAGAUCAUAACUGGGUUUGAAUUUGAUUGCUGCGACUAUCGCCUUGCCCAUGCAGAAGAAAUUAAAUAUGGAAAUAUCCAAUGAAAGUAUGAAGUGUGAAUCGUCUUCGUCCUGCUUAGCCAGAAGGGGAUAACCAUUUGCUUGUCAUUUGUCAAUUCAAAUUGUCAUGGGACCUCCUUACCAACGUGGAUGAGCUGCCAGAAUGAAUGAAAAAGCUCCCAUUAUUUUCGUGAAUUUCUCUGGCAACACACUGCUCUUUAAUUAGACAUGAAAAAUAUAGAUCGAUGUCAUUGACGACAUUAAUUGAUAGCAUGAACCAUCAACUGCCCUAGUUGACAAAAUUAUGGCUGAAAUUAAAUCCUAAACAGCACCCAUUGGCUGCAUGCUUCUUCCAUUUUAAUGCAUACUAUUUCAUGAAAAAUAGUUUUUAAAUAACUUAAAAUUUAAUUUAAUUAUUUCAUAUAAUUACUCUAAAAAAUUACA